AGUUGGUGAGGUAAAGGCUCACCAAGGCGACGAUCUGUAGCGGGUCUGAGAGGAUGAUCCGCCACACUGGAACUGAGACACGGUCCAGACUCCUACGGGAGGCAGCAGUGGGGAAUUUUGGACAAUGGGGGCAACCCUGAUCCAGCCAUGCCGCGUGAGUGAAGAAGGCCUUCGGGUUGUAAAGCUCUUUCAGCCGGGAAGAAAUCACAUGGGUUAAUACCCUGUGUGGAUGACGGUACCGGAAUAAGAAGCACCGGCUAACUACGUGCCAGCAGCCGCGGUAAUACGUAGGGUGCGAGCGUUAAUCGGAAUUACUGGGCGUAAAGCGUGCGCAGGCGGUUUGUUAAGAUAGGCGUGAAAUCCCCGGGCUCAACCUGGGAACUGCGUUUAUGACUGGCAGGCUAGAGUAUGGCAGAGGGGGGUGGAAUUCCACGUGUAGCAGUGAAAUGCGUAGAGAUGUGGAGGAACACCGAUGGCGAAGGCAGCCCCCUGGGCCAAUACUGACGCUCAUGCACGAAAGCGUGGGUAGCAAACAGGAUUAGAUACCCUGGUAGUCCACGCCCUAAACGAUGUCAACUAGGUGUUGGGUGGGUAAAACCAUUUAGUACCGGAGCUAACGCGUGAAGUUGACCGCCUGGGGAGUACGGCCGCAAGGUUAAAACUCAAAGGAAUUGACGGGGACCCGCACAAGCGGUGGAUGAUGUGGAUUAAUUCGAUGCAACGCGAAAAACCUUACCUACCCUUGACAUGUCCAGAAGCUCUUAGAGAUUUGAGUGUGCCCGAAAGGGAACUGGAACACAGGUGCUGCAUGGCUGUCGUCAGCUCGUGUCGUGAGAUGUUGGGUUAAGUCCCGCAACGAGCGCAACCCUUGUCGUUAAUUGCCAUCAUUUAGUUGGGCACUUUAACGAGACUGCCGGUGACAAACCGGAGGAAGGUGGGGGUGACGUCAAGUCCUCAUGGCCCUUAUGGGUAGGGCUUCACACGUCAUACAAUGGUCGGUACAAAGGGUUGCCAACCCGCGAGGGGGAGCUAAUCCCAGAAAGCCGAUCGUAGUCCGGAUCGUAGGCUGCAACUCGCCUGCGUGAAGUCGGAAUCGCUAGUAAUCGUGGAUCAGCAUGUCACGGUGAAUACGUUCCCGGGUCUUGUACACACCGCCCGUCACACCAUGGGAGCGGGUUCCGCCAGAAGUAGGUAGCCUAACCGCAAGGAGGGCGCUUACCACGGCGGGGUUCGUGACUGGGGUGAAGUCGUAACAAGGUAGCCGUAGGGGAACCUGCGGCUG
rnacentral:rRNA from 1 species